AGCGAACGCUGGCGGCAGGCCUAACACAUGCAAGUCGAACGAACUCUUCGGAGUUAGUGGCGGACGGGUGAGUAACACGUGGGAACGUGCCUUUUGGUUCGGAAUAACUCAGGGAAACUUGUGCUAAUACCGAAUGUGCCCUUCGGGGGAAAGAUUUAUCGCCAUUAGAGCGGCCCGCGUCUGAUUAGCUAGUUGGUGAGGUAACGGCUCACCAAGGCGACGAUCAGUAGCUGGUCUGAGAGGAUGACCAGCCUCACUGGGACUGAGACACGGCCCAGACUCCUACGGGAGGCAGCAGUGGGGAAUCUUGCGCAAUGGGCGAAAGCCUGACGCAGCCAUGCCGCGUGAAUGAUGAAGGUCUUAGGAUUGUAAAAUUCUUUCACCGGGGACGAUAAUGACGGUACCCGGAGAAGAAGCCCCGGCUAACUUCGUG
rnacentral:rRNA from 1 species